rnacentral:lncRNA from 1 species
AGAGAUCGCGGAGAGACGCAGAACGCAGCCCGCUCCUCCAGGGCCCUCCAGGCCCUCCGGCCCCGGGCCGGCGGGUGAACUGGGGGGCCCCGGGACAGGCCGAGCCCUCUGCCCUGCAGAUAACGGAGGCCUCUGCUGUGGCUGCCCACUGGCUGUGCCCGCCCACUGGCUGUGCCCAGACCUUGAAGCCGCAGCGAACCUCUCUUUCCCACCCCACCUCGGUGACUAAUGGCGGCCGUGGCGUCUCCCAGCCCGGACCCCGCCGGCACCCGGGUCUCCCGACCCAAGCCUCGACGAAACCCCCGCAGAGCCGCCGGGACGCAGCGCCUUUGGGCGGCGCUGGGCGUGGUGGGCCGGGAAGUAUGGCGGCAGCUCGAACGCCGCGCGGCGGAGGCCAUUAAGGCGUGGACGGCCCGGGAAGGCGGCCUAGGGACGCAAGCAGGCUCGGCCGCCUCUUUAGGCCACGGAGCCGCGCAGAUCCGGUUCCCGGGUGACCACUCUGUCGCCAUUGGGCGAGACCUACCUAGUCCUGACGACAACGGACAAAGGCCUUAAGGGGCCUGGAAGGUGAGCGAAGUCCCGAACGACGACGGGUGGAACGGUUAGCGGCCAUCGGGCGGUUGGUCUUCAUUCUACCAGACUUUGCUGUCGGAAGAGAGAAAUGGUAGAAUGACAGGCCACGUUUGGCCCGUUGGAAAUGCCCACCACCCUCUGGGAAGAUUUACUGGCCGUUUAUGGAAGGCCUGUGUAUAUAAUAUGAAAAAGCUGCUCUCAACUCCACCCCAACCUUUUAAUAGAAAACAUUUGUCACAUCUAGCCCUUCUAGAUGGAAAGAGGUUGCCGACGUAUGAUAAAAUAGAGUUAGAAAGUUACACAUCUUGUAAAUUCUCAUUUGUUUAAAAGAAAUCAUAGAAAAUACAUGUCUUCUGGAGAUGACUUUUGGAAAUGGAGUUGUUAAGACGGCCUCUGGAAGCGAUACGUCCACGUUUGUUAAGUGGGUUAGAUGACAUGGAGCUGGAAGACCUGAGAAGGAAGAGAAGAAGGUUCUAUGCUAGACUGGUCAUAUUUAGAAGACAUUUUCAUAUUCUAUCCAUUGUUUUGUGUGCAUUUUAUUCCUCACUACUGUGUAUAUAGUUGACAAUGCUAAGCUUUUUUGAAAUGUCUCUUCUUUUUAGAUGUUCUGAAGUGCCUGAUAUGUUAAAAUUAGAGGUAGCAAAAUCACAUUUUGUAAAUACCUUUUUGUUACAAUUCAUAGGAAAUAUUUUUGGGGGGGAAUGGCCAAAUCACCUGUUGAGUAAUACUCAUUGUGUUUGUGCAGUGGUUCAGGGGAGGAGAGAGGAGGGGGAGGUGCAGAGAGCUCUAUGCCAUCCUGUUUACAGCGAGGCAAGAUGAAUCAUUAUGUCUGUGCAUUUUGUUUUACUUAUCUGUGUAUAUAGUGUACAUAAAGGACAGACGAGUCCUAAUUGACAACAUCUAGUCUUUCUGGAUGUUAAAGAGGUUGCCAGUGUAUGACAAAAGUAGAGUUAGUAAACUAAUAUAUUUUGUACAUUUUGUUUUACAAGUCCUAGGAAAGAUUGUCUUCUGAAAAUUUGAUGUCUUCUGGGUUGAUGGAGAUGGGAAGGGUUCUAGGCCAGAAUGUUCACAUUUGGAAGACUCUUUCAAAUUAUAACUGUUGUUACAUGUUUGCAGUUUAUUCAAGACUGCUGUAUACAUAGUAGACAAAUUAACUCCUUACUUGAAACAUCUAGUCUAUCUAGAUGUUUAGAAGUGCCCGAUGUAUGUUAAAUGUAUAGGUAGUAAAAUACCACUUUGUAAAUAUCUUUUUGCUAAAAUUCAUAGGAAAUGCUUUUGGAAAUUGAAUUGUGAAGCCACCUUUGUGAACAGUAUAGUAAUGUCUAUACUUGUUCAAUAGUUUAGAGGAGGUAGGAGGGAAGAAAUUGCAAAAGGUAAUAUUACUAGUGUGUUCAUACUUGGACAUUUUCAGACACCAUUUUUCUAUAUGUUUUGUGCAUUUUGUUUUGCUCUGUAUAUAGUAUAUAUAAUGGACAAAUAGUCCUAAUUUUUCAACAUCUAGUCUCUAGAUGUUAAAGAGGUUGCCAGUGUAUGACAAAGGAGUAAAAUUAGCAUAUUUUGUACACUUUGUGUUGAAAUUCGUAGGAAAACUUGUCUUCUGUAAAGACUUUUGCAUAGGAAUUUGUUUGACCAUCUCUAAGCAUUACACGUGCCUGUACUUGUCCACUGGAUUGAAGGCAGAGAAGGAAGGGAGGAGGGAAUGAUUCAAGGCCAAAAUGGCCACAUUUAGAAGAUACCUCAGAUGAUAACCAUUGUUAUGUGUGUGCAAUUUUAUUUAACAGUGCUGUGUAUGUGGUGGACAAGUUAUAUGAAAUAUCUAGUCUUUCUAGAUAUUUGGAAGUGCUUGAUGUAUUUAAAAGUGGUAGUAGAAUAACACUUUGUAAAUAGCUUUUAAAAACUGAUGGGAAAUGCUGUUUGGAAGUGGAAUUGUUGAACCACCUGGGAGGUGGGAGGGAAGAAAUUGCAAAUGGUGUUUUGCCAUUGUUUAUUAGAAAAUUUCAGCUUAAUCCAUUGUGUAUAUGUUACAUGCAUUUCAUUUAACUUUGCUAUACUGUAUAUAUUGUAUAUAUAACGGACAAAUUAGUCCCGAUUUUAUAAUAUCUAGUCUCUAGAUAUUAAAGAGGUUGCCAAUGUAUGACAGAAGUAGAGUUAGUAAACUAACACAUUUUGUACACUUUGUUAAAAUUUGUAGAAAGGCUGUCUUCUGAAAAGGACUUUUGGAAGUGAGAUAACAUCAGCUCUAAGUGACACGUGCCUAUAUCCAUCAGGUUGGUGGUGGAGAGGAGUUGGAAGGAAUGAAGGGUUCUAGACCAGAAUGUUCGUAUUUAGAAGACACUAUCAGAUAUAACCAUUGUUACAUGUGUGUAGUUUAUUCAACCCUACUGUGUAUAUAGCGGACAAACUUAAGUCCUUAUUUGAAACAUCUAGUCUUUCUAGAUGUUUAGAAGUGCACAAAGUAUGUUAAAAGUAGAGGUAGUAAAUAACACAUUUUGUAGCUAUCCUUUUGAUAUGAAAUAUUGUCUUGGAAAUUGAUCAAUUCUCUGAGCAGUACCCAUUUUGAUAUUUGUGCUGGUUCAGGGGGAAGGAGGAGCACAAAGUGCAAAGGGCUUUCUACCAGUGUCCAGUGUGUUUAUGAGGAGGCACAUUGACCAUUGUCCCUUAUGUCUGCAUUUUCAUUUACUGUGCUGUGUAUAUAGUGUAUAUAAGCGGACAUAGGAGUCCUAAUUUACGUCUAGUCGAUGUUAAAAAGGUUGCCAGUAUAUGACAAAAGUAGAAUUAGUAAACUACUACAUUGAGUACACUUUGUGUUAAAAUUCAUAGGGAAGACUUCUUAAAAACAAGUGAAAUUGUUAAAACCCCCCCUAAGCAUUACAGAUGGCUUAUAGCUGUCCACGGGGUUGGUAGAGGUGGGAAAGGGAAGGGUUCUAGGCCAGAAUGUUCCUAUUUAGAAGACACUCAAAUUACAGUCUGUGUUAUGUAUGUAUACCAUUUAUUCAAUGCUACUGUGUAUAUAAUGGAAAACUUAAGUCCAGUUUGAAACAUCUAGUCUUUCUAGGUGUUUAAAAGUGUACAACGGCCUGUCGCAGUGGCGCAUGCCUGUAAUCCCAGCACUUUGGGAGGCCGAGGCAGGCGGAUCACGAGGUCAAGAGAUCAGGACCAUCUUGGCCAACAUGGUGAAACCCCAUCUUUACUAAAAAUACAAAAAUUAGCUGGUCGUGGUGGUGCCCACCUGUAGCCCCAGUUACUCGAGAGGCUGAGGCAGGAGAAUCGCUUGAACUUGGGAGGCGGAAGUUGCAGUGAGCCAAGAUCGCACCACUGCACUCCAGCCUGGCGACAGAGCGAGGCUCCGUUUCAAAAAAAAAAGUGCACAAUGUAGGUUAACAGUAGAGGGCUUAAGUAACACCCCUCUAAGCAUUUGUUUUCAGUACUUCCUAGGAGUGAUUAGUUCAGAUGGUCUAACCAUUGUUCUAUAUGUGCAUUUUAGUUAAUAUUGUGUAUUAAAGGAUAAGUCUUAAUGCUCAAAGUAUGUUAAAAAUAGAUGUAGUAAAUCAGUCCCUUUGUGAAUGUCCUUUUGUUAGUUUUUAGGAAGGCCUGUCCUCUGGGAGUGACCUUUAUUAGUCCACCCCUUGGAGCUAGACAUCCUGUACUUAGUCACGGGGAUGGUGGAAGAGGGAGAAGAGGAAGGGUGAAGGGAAGGGCUCUUUGCUAGUAUCUCCAUAUCUAGACGAUGGUUUUAGAUGAUAACCACAGGUCUACAAGAGCGUUUUUAGUAAAGUGCCUGUGUUCAUUGUGGACAAAGUUAUUAUUUUGCAACAUCUAAGCUUUACGAAUGGGGUGACAACUUAUGAUAAAAACUAGAGCUAGUGAAUUAGCCUAUUUGUAAAUACCUUUGUUAUAAUUGAUAGGAUACAUCUUGGACAUGGAAUUGUUAAGCCACCUCUGAGCAGUGUAUGUCAGGACUUGUUCAUUAGGUUGGCAGCAGAGGGGCAGAAGGAAUUAUACAGGUAGAGAUGUAUGCAGAUGUGUCCAUAUAUGUCCAUAUUUACAUUUUGAUAGCCAUUGAUGUAUGCAUCUCUUGGCUGUACUAUAAGAACACAUUAAUUCAAUGGAAAUACACUUUGCUAAUAUUUUAAUGGUAUAGAUCUGCUAAUGAAUUCUCUUAAAAACAUACUGUAUUCUGUUGCUGUGUGUUUCAUUUUAAAUUGAGCAUUAAGGGAAUGCAGCAUUUAAAUCAGAACUCUGCCAAUGCUUUUAUCUAGAGGCGUGUUGCCAUUUUUGUCUUAUAUGAAAUUUCUGUCCCAAGAAAGGCAGGAUUACAUCUUUUUUUUUUUUUUUAGCAGUUUGAGUUGGUGUAGUGUAUUCUUGGUUAUCAGAAUACUCAUAUAGCUUUGGGAUUUUGAAUUGGUAAAUAUUCAUGAUGUGUGAAAAAUCAUGAUACAUACUGUACAGUCUCAGUCCCAUAAAAUUGGAUGUUGUGCCUACACACAGGAUCUAGAAGAAUAUGUCAAACUAUAAACUGCUUGUGAUUGUGAAUGACUUUGUUCUUUGCUUGUGUUUUUCAAUUUCCUAUAAUGCACAUACUAACUUUUAAAAAAUAAAGGUUAUUUUAAAAGCCUGUAUUAAGCCCUCGUUGCUUGUAGAAUAGAGUUAGUAUACGCUACAGAAGCACAGGUUCAUGCUCCUUCAUGCUUGGGCUCUGAGGUAUCUGGAAUUUCU